CCCUUAGAUGUUCUGGGCCGCACGCGCGCUACACUGAUCAGUGCAACAAGCAUCCGUCCUUGGCCGACAGGCCCGGGCAAUCUUUGAACGCUGAUCGUGAUGGGGAUAGACUUUUGCAAUUUUUGGUCUUCAACGAGGAAUUCCUAGUAAACGCAAGUCAUCAACUUGCAUUGAUUACGUCCCUGCCCUUUGUACACACCGCCCGUCGCUCCUACCGAUUGGAUGAUCCGGUGAGCUAUUCGGACCCUCGCUUCGUCGAUUUUCGGCUUUGUGAGGGAAAGUCUCGCGAACCUUAUCAUCUAGAGGAAGGAGAAGUCGUAACA
rnacentral:rRNA from 1 species